AGAGGAUGAUCAGCCACACUGGGACUGAGACACGGCCCCAGACUCCUACGGGAGGCAGGCCAGUAGGGAAUAUUGCACAAUGGGGGAAACCCUGAUGCAGCGAAUACCGCGUGUGUGAAGAAGGCUUUCGGGUUGUAAAGCACUUUCAAUAGAGAAGGAAAAGCUUAGAGUUUAAUACCUCUAGGUCUUGACGUUAUCUAUACAAGAAGCACCGGCUAAUUCCGUGCCAGCAGCCGCGGUAA
rnacentral:rRNA from 1 species